GAUGAACGCUGGCGGCGUGCUUAACACAUGCAAGUCGAACGGAAAGGCCCAAGCUUGCUUGGUUACUCGAGUGGCGAACGGGUGAGUAACACGUGGGUGAUCUGCCCUUCACUUCGGGAUAAGCCUGGGAAACUGGGUCUAAUACUGGAUAGGAUCUCUUCUUGGAUGGUGUGGUGGAGAGUUUUUCCGGUGUGGGAUGAGCUCGCGGCGUAUCAGCUUGUUGGUGGGGUAAUGGCCUACCAAGGCGUUGACGGGGAGCCGGCACGAGAGGGUGGACGGACACACUGGGCCUGAGAGACGGGCAGGAGUCGGACAGGAGGCAGAAGGGGGGAAUAUCGGACGAUGGGCGGCAGCGUGAGGCAGCGAGGCCGCGGGGGCGAUAACCGCUUUUGGGUUGUAAAAUCAAUUGGCUAAGGACGAAGCGUUUUUGUGACGGUACCUGGAGAAGAAGCACCGGCUAACUACGUG
rnacentral:rRNA from 1 species